GCACUUAGGCAGUCAGUAAGGAAAGCUUUAUUUUACUCUGGCUUCUCUCUUUAUCUUCCUUUUCCUGUUUUAUUUUUUUCAUUGACUGGAAAAGAUUUAUUUCCCUGCUUGAUGUGAUUAAACAUGUUUUGCCAAAUUGAUGCAUGAGAACCAGUUUCUAUGAGAAGUCUCUUCUGGAGAUGUAUAUCCAUGUAACUCUGUAUUUCCUCCCAUAUCUGACUGUUUGUUUCCAAUCUUUUGACUGCUUUCUUGCUUUUUAUGCCUUUAUCUUUGCUUAUUUGAAUUAGGUACUUCUCUGCUACCUUUCACCUGCUCUUUUUCUGUGCCAUUGUUUCCCUUGCUACCUUACCUAAAACCAGGCCCUAGAGAAACAGAAAGAAUACAUUGCCUGCCUUAGGAAUGAGCGAGAUAUGCUCAGAGAGGAGCUGGCUGACCUGCAGGAGACAGUGAAGACGGGAGAGAAACAUGGCUUAGUUAUAAUCCCCGAUGGCACUCCCAAUGGUGAUGUCAGUCAUGAACCAGUGGCUGGAGCCAUCACUGUUGUGUCUCAGGAAGCUGCUCAGGUCUUGGAGUCAGCAGGAGAAGGGCCAUUAGAUGUAAGGCUACGAAAACUUGCUGGAGAGAAGGAAGAACUACUGUCACAG
rnacentral:lncRNA from 1 species